rnacentral:rRNA from 1 species
GAUCAUGGCUCAGAGUGAACGCUGGCGGCAGGCCUAACACAUGCAAGUCGAACGGCAGCGGGUAGGAAGCUUGCUUCCUAUGCCGGCGAGUGGCGGACGGGUGAGGAACACAUCGGAAUCUACUCCGUCGUGGGGGAUAACGUAGGGAAACUUACGCUAAUACCGCAUACGACCUAAGGGUGAAAGUGGGGGACCGCAAGGCCUCACGCGAUGGAAUGAGCCGAUGUCCGAUUAGCUAGUUGGCGGGG